GAGCGGUAACAGGGGUAGCUUGCUACCCGCUGACGAGCGGCGGACGGGUGAGUAAUGCAUGGGUAUCUGCCCGGUAGUGGGGGAUAACUCGGGGAAACCCGAGCUAAUACCGCAUACGUCCUACGGGAGAAAGCAGGGGAUCUUCGGACCUUGCGCUAUCGGAUGAGCCCAUGUCGGAUUAGCUUGUUGGUGAGGUAACGGCUCACCAAGGCGACGAUCCGUAGCUGGUCUGAGAGGAUGAUCAGCCACACCGGGACUGAGACACGGCCCGGACUCCUACGGGAGGCAGCAGUGGGGAAUAUUGGACAAUGGGGGAAACCCUGAUCCAGCCAUGCCGCGUGUGUGAAGAAGGCCUUCGGGUUGUAAAGCACUUUCAGUGGGGAAGAAGGCAUGAUGAUUAAUACUCGUCAUGAAGGACAUCACCCACAGAAGAAGCACCGGCUAACUCCGUGCCAGCAGCCGCGGUAAUACGGAGGGUGCAAGCGUUAAUCGGAAUUACUGGGCGUAAAGGGCGCGUAGGCGGCUUGCCAAGCCGGAUGUGAAAGCCCCGGGCUCAACCCGGGAACGGCAUUCGGAACUGGUAGGCUAGAGUGCAGGAGAGGAAGGUGGAAUUCCCGGUGUAGCGGUGAAAUGCGUAGAGAUCGGGAGGAAUACCAGUGGCGAAGGCGGCCUUCUGGACUGACACUGACGCUGAGGCGCGAAAGCGUGGGUAGCAAACAGGAUUAGAUACCCUGGUAGUCCACGCCGUAAACGAUGUCGACCAGCCGUUGGACCCCUUGAGGGUUUGGUGGCGCAGUUAACGCAAUAAGUCGACCGCCUGGGGAGUACGGCCGCA
rnacentral:rRNA from 1 species